UUCUUAAAUAUCCCUAGCAUUUCCAUCCAGAAUUUUUAAAGGGAGGAAGCAUGACUUGGAAAUGACUGUAACACGAAUGGAUUUGUUGACUUAACUGACAUUGUUUUGACAUGACAGGGCCUACCGAGGGACCGAGGUCCCUUUGUGCUAACUGCAAAACAAACACAGGACUGAAAACGGAGCUGGUAUCAGAGUUCCCCUGCCUUAUCGCUCUCAGUUAAUGCGUUACUCCACGCUAACUGGCCAGCUAAGAGUAGCAUUCGUUACGGGGAGAGGGAAGACUCAUACAUAGCAGCAGCAUUGUUUCUCUCUACUGUUUUCAUAGCAGGUUUCUGCCCACGGCUCUUUGUAACUCAAAGCCCAUAUUCAAACCAGAGAGUUGUCCAAACCUGAGCCAUUUCAUCUACCAGCAAAGUGGACAUUUGUGUUCAUUUAACACCAGGACAGGGAGAUGUUGGCCCAUGGCUGGGAGCCCUAGACCCAUCAUAGCUUGUGAGCCAUGCUGGCAUCUCCCAGCACCCACGGGUCAACCAAACACCCCAAGAGCCAAAAGGGCACCCCUGCCAGAACAGAUGCGUAGCACUGGGCUCAUUAAAACAAACGCAUGCUUAUCCUGUUUGAUUGUGUGAAUUAAUUAACCCCUCUGAACAGUCAGAAUGUAACUUUGUAGCCCUGGUUAUGUGUAUAUAAGCCCAUCUGGUUUAGAGCAGCAGUAUCUAACUGACUGCAUGAAAUUUUUUUGAACACCGCUAUGAAGAGAAAAUAGGCCUCUGGGCCAGGAGUCAGCAGUUGUCAAGAUCUGACGUGCUUCUACUGAGACCAUCAGGAGGGAUCCAGUGUCACCACCUCUCUGCUGCUUUGGUACCAACAUGACAGCUCUGACCAAGAACGGUCUCCGUGGCCCUUCUCUCUUGCAGCCACCCCCGAGCCACUCUCCUGCAACCCACUGCACAGCACAAGGAACAAAAAGAGGAGCUUCUGCAUCACUUAAACACAAUCUUAGAUAUUUUGCAACCAAUUUAUUUGACCCAGCAAAGAGCUUCCAGGAGAAGACAUGAGCGUGUGAUACAGCGACACGGAUGUCUGCUGUCAGUUAGUCUGAAAUGCGGUACAAAGCGUGCACUUCUCUAUCCAAGCCCUUUGGCAAAAGCGCGUGUAGCUCGUUUCUUGAUUUCAGAAAAUAUGUGCAAACGCAACCAGCCUCACCGUGCAGUUGGAGAUGUUUGGAGUACCCCGCAAGCGUGGGUACAGCAGUGUCUGGUCCUCGUGCCACAGCCAUGAGCCUCCAGCCCCGGGCGGCGUAUGAAUAGCAUGACAAUCAGAAAAAUUCACACAGAAGAUUUUGCAAGCACGUUUGCUCAUUGAAACUUUGUCCUAGAGUCUCCUGCAGCUGCGAGAAAGGAGGCUCCUUGUCGUUUAUAGCUGAGGUCAGUGGGCGGCCAAAGCAAGGAAGUUUGUAUUGCAGCAAUUUGUACCUUAUCUAGUUUAUAGAUGUAAACAGAAGGUUUACGCUUCCGUUGCUGAACUCUCCUACACCAAAAAUGUUCAGUGCAUAGAGGAGGAGAGGGAUAGGCAAUGUGCGUGCACACUUAUUUCUUGAAUAUAUUUUGAGAAGUACAGUUAAAGAGCCCAGUGUUUCUGAAGCGUUUGGAAAUUAGGACUCCCUUGCAGCGAUUAAAAACCCAAUCUCUCUGCAGACUGCAGGGGUCAUUCCAGGAUCUCCAUAGGGUCUGGAUGCGACUUGUAAGUCUCAUGGACUUGGGUCAACACCAUUGAAGCCAAGAGUCCUUUCAUGAGCUUUAGGUCGCUCCCAAUUGCUUCUGAAGUCAUUGCCCAGGCUUUUCUCAUUUUAGUCACAGUACCAGAGUUUUGUAUCAUUUGAAAAGCUCCAAGGCAAGGGACAUAUGGAGCCUACAAAAGCAUAGUUAUUGUGCUAGCUAGCUCCAGUCCCAUGCCAAGCAAAUUAUUCAUGCACACUCUGUGGAUAGGAGGCACAAGCUUUCAUGUGGUUAUAUGGAUAAAGGGAGGAAAAUUUAGGCCACUGACUCAGCCUGUCAGCAAUGUUUCCCCCUAAAUACAGCCAUGGAGCUGCAAAGCAGAUUUCUCACAGCACUGAUGGUGGGGCAGUACUCUCUUUGGAAAACGUGACCCCUUAUUUACAUGCCACUUGGAAAGCAGUAUCAUAUAAGGGAGCCAAACUCUUCCAAAAGUCUGGCCUUUUGAUUAUAACCUUUCAUGAAAGUUAGCAAUUGAACAAAAGCAGCUUAGAGAUAGCAUUUCAAAUGAGAAUCAGACGGCUUGCCUGGAACAGGAGCAAUAGCAAUCUGCCCAGCCUGUUAGAGACACGGCCAUGCUAUCCAGUGCUGCGCUCCUGCAUCCAAAAGGAAACCUGACAUUCAACAGGUGUUCUGCUUUUUGGGUAGUCUCAUGGAGGGAGAAAGAAUUUGAGGAGACACACUACAAAAAGGUUCUUUAAAGGCACCUACUUUUCCAUUUCAGCUCCAUGACCAAACGGCUUUUUUUUUUUUUUUGGUCUCAGCGGAUUUUAUUCAAUUACCACUGCAGUGGCCACUGCAGAGUGCGGGGUACAUUCCUGCUUCAGUCGUCUUUGUGUCCACUUGGCAGCAAUCCUGAACGCCCAGAAAAGCAGACAGUUGCUAUUUUCCUCCAUUUAUACUUUUCCCUUGGAAAUAUUUCUUGUUUGGCCUUGCCACCCUGCAAAAAAAAAAUUCCUAUGAUCCUUUCAUAAAGGAAUUAAAUUUACUCUAUUAUUUUAGUUAGUGGAAAUAGAAAAGCCAAUCAGCUGACUGUAAUUGUACAAUAAAGCCAAGAGUAGUUCAUUUCAAUCCUUGUUCCAUAAUACUUAUAUAAUUCAGACCUGGAGACAAAAGCACUAAGGUCAUGGAUUAACAGUGGCUUAAAGUUGAAAAUAGCCUGAGGAAGUAAGGAUGACAAAGUAAUUACUAGUGGGCAAAUCAUAUGUUAAUGGGUAGGGGAAUUAUUUAGUGUAUGACAUUUAAUCAAUGUAAAUGGAAGAAAUAUAAAAGCAAAUCCAACUUU